UACAGAGGUCCCGAGCGUUGUUCGGAUUUACUGGGCGUAAAGGGUGCGUAGGCGGUCGGGUAAGUCUGAUGUGAAAUCUCUGGGCUCAACCCAGAAAUGGCAUUGGAUACUAUUCGGCUUGAGGUCUGGAGGGGGGACUGGAAUUCUCGGUGUAGCAGUGAAAUGCGUAGAUAUCGAGAGGAACGCCAGUGGCGAAGGCGGCGGACUGGACCAUAACUGACGCUGAGGCGCGAAAGCUAGGGGAGCAAACAGG
rnacentral:rRNA from 1 species